rnacentral:rRNA from 1 species
CGUAGGUAACCUGCCUGGUAGCGGGGGAUAACUAUUGGAAACGAUAGCUAAUACCGCAUAAGAGUAGAUGUUGCAUGACAUUUACUUAAAAGGUGCAAUUGCAUCACCACCAGAUGGACCUGCGUUGUAUUAGCUAGUUGGUGAGGUAACGGCUCACCAAGGCAACGAUACAUAGCCGACCUGAGAGGGUGAUCGGCCACACUGGGACUGAGACACGGCCCAG